AAUUUCUGACCUGCCAGACUCGAACUGUCUCCUCACGGGGAUAUGUUUCGGCUUGUCUGCGGGUCAUCCUUCUGGUGAGUGGCUCUGGUCUUAGUUGGUUGGAGUCACGAUCCAGAUCGUUUACUGUGAGCAAAUGGGAGUGUUCAACGCAGGUCUUACUUGCCUGAACCGUUUAGCAUGGAAUAAUAAAAUAAAACUUUGGAUUUAUUUUGUUGGCUAAUGAAACCCAAGUCAUGAUCAAUAGGGAUAGUUGGGGGUGCUCAUAUUCAGGGGGUAGCGGUGAAAUGCGAUGAUCCUCUGAAGAUGAACUAAUGCGAAAGCAUU
rnacentral:rRNA from 1 species